AUUGAACGCUGGCGGCAUGCUUUACACAUGCAAGUCGAACGGUAACAGGCCUUCGGGUGCUGACGAGUGGCGAACGGGUGAGUAAUGCAUCGGAACGUACCCAGAGGUGGGGGAUAACGCAGCGAAAGCUGUGCUAAUACCGCAUGUGAUCUGAGGAUGAAAGCGGGGGACCGAGCAGCAAUGUUUGGCCUCGCGCCUUUGGAGCGGCCGAUGUCGGAUUAGCUAGUUGGUGGGGUAAAGGCCUACCAAGGCGACGUUCCGUAGCUGGUCUGAGAGGACGACCAGCCACACUGGGACUGAGACACGGCCCAGACUCCUACGGGAGGCAGCAGUGGGGAAUUUUGGACAAUGGGCGCAAGCCUGAUCCAGCAAUGCCGCGUGCGGGAAGAAGGCCUUCGGGUUGUAAACCGCUUUUGGCAGGAACGAAACGGUAUCCGCUAAUACCGGGCGCUAAUGACGGUACCUGCAGAAUAAGCACCGGCUAACUACGUG
rnacentral:rRNA from 1 species